rnacentral:rRNA from 1 species
CCUACGGGGGGCAGCAGUGGGGGAUAUUGCACAAUGGGGGAAACCCUGAUGCAGCGACGCCGCGUGGGUGAAGAAGUAUUUCGGUAUGUAAAGCCCUAUCAGCAGGGAAGAAAGAAGACGGUACCUGACUAAGAAGCCCCGGCUAACUACGUGCCAGCAGCCGCGGUAAUACGUAGGGGGCGAGCGUUAUCCGGAUUCACUGGGUGUAAAGGGAGCGUAGACGGCCGUGCAAGCCAGGAGUGAAAGCCCGGGGCCCAACCCCGGGACUGCUCUUGGAACUGUGCGGCUGGAGUGCGGGAGGGGCAGGCGGAAUUCCUGGUGUAGCGGUGAAAUGCGUAGAUAGCAGGAGGAACACCGGCGGCGAAGGCGGCCUGCUGGACCGCGACUGACGUUGAGGCUCGAAAGCGUGGGGAGCGAACAGGAUUAGAUACCCGUGUAGUC